UAGGCAGCUACAUUUGAAAUUAGAAAAAAAUAAUGAAGUAUAGUAUCUCUAAUCACUAAGGUUGCUACUGAGAUAUUUUGCAAUAUCCAACUUGAGACUCUUUUU